CAAGACUGGUGGUGCACAAGGUUGGGUCUUGGUGUUCACCGGGCGGCGGGCAUGGGCCAGGUGGGAGGGUCUCCACCACCUGGUGCAAAUCUCCAAGAAAAUGCAGUUAACAGCAUCAAGGGUGAUUGUAAAGUUCUGGUUUGGCGCGGCGGGUAGGCGUUCCAGAGCAGAAAUGAGCACGAAAGCUUUUGCUGUGGUUGUAGGCAGGUCGGCCCCAAGCGCUUCUUAUUGGCUAAUGUGGAGGGAACUUGCACACCCAUUGGCUGAAAUCUCCGUCUAAUUGAGGCUGACUGAGAGCUUCUUUUCCUACUGUGUUGCCUGGAAGCGGACUGUCCGCCUAGUAACAUCUGAUCGCGUUUCCAAUUGGUCACCGUUUACGGAAGCCCGCCUUCCCUUUUCCGGAAGCCCGGUGGAUGCUGGGUCUGCAGGUUGGAGUCCAGGUGCACAGUGGGAAGUGUGAUUCCGCAGUGUUGGGUUGUUCGGCCACGCGCCCGCCGGACAAGGGACCCUGGAGGGUUAGUGGCCUGAAGUCCUCGCCUUCAGCGUCCGCGGCUGGGAAAUGGGCUAUCGCCACGGCGGGAACUGGGACUCUGGCUGCGUCCCGGCCCUUCCUCAUAGUCCACCGGACUCGUGGGCGCGCGCACUGGCGCUGAUGUAGUUUCCUGACCUCUGACCCGUACUGUCUUGAGAUUAAAGGUCCAGAUUUUGAAGAAAUCUCUCUACAGAUUGAACCGAGCUGCACUGGAUCCCCCAGCAGCGAGGAGACCUGAAGACCAGAGGAAACACGGCAAGUAGGCCCUUCAAACCACUCAUCUGUGUUCUCUUCCAAUUUAUUCUGUUUUAUUUUGUUUCCCUCAUUUUAAGGGGUUAAAAUCAUCUUGUUCAAACCUCAGGAUAUAAAAUGACCCAUCGGUAGACCUCAGGCUCCAGCCAUACCCCAAGAAUUGUCUGGUUUGUUUUAAGUUACUGCCAGGUUUCAAUUGUAGAUAUCCCCGGAAGGAAUAUUCCAGAUUCCCUGAGUAGCUUCCAGGUUAAAGUCCUAUAGGCUUCCUCUGUUU